GCGGUCAGGUUACUGCGGAGGGACAUUA
rnacentral:rRNA from 1 species